GGCCGAACAUAUUCCGUUGGAGGCCAAGGACCCCGUAUCCGUCGUGGAAAGUCUAAAGGAAGCCUCCCAUUUCGGGAGCCUAAUGCAUGAAGGGAGAUGAUUGCAAGUGAAGGGCUGGCGGGCGGCGGGUGUUUGAUGCAAAGUGACAACUGGUCUGAUGAACUGCUGAGCACCAGUCAGACCAUAACUGCUGCUGCACAGCAGCUCCUCCUCCUCCUCCUUCUCCUUCGAUCUUACCGAUGGGACUCUGAGAGGACAUUAUUUAUUGUCUAAUUAAUUAUCUUAAAGGGGAGAUACUUUUUUUUCGAUUCUUACUUGUAUUUUUGGUUGUGUUGUUCUUUAAUGUCCGGAAUUCUGUCUGUCCGGACACAUCUGCCUUCACACUCAGUGCCCGUGUCUUCAACAGCCGGACAAAGUCUGCUCUGAUUGGUCAGAAACGUGCUUCAUCGAGGGGACGCGGUUUCUCAACGUGGGCACAGACCUGCUUUAUAAAUCCGAAGGAGGAUCUCACUCACCACAAAGUUGGACGUCUGAUGGUUGGGUUUCACAAAACGUGCGUUCUCAAGGUUCCGUUCUGUCUCAUCUACUCAUCUAGUUGUUUUCGCUGGUUGUCAGGGACAACGGAGGACAGCGCCAUCAUUGAAGAGGACACGGGGCCCAUCUGCCCUCCUUGAGGAUUGAUGUUUCAUCUAACAUCUCAACCUUGGUUAUUUGAUGCUCUGCAUGCUUAUGAUGUGUUUCUCAUGUUGCCCAUCUGUCUUUAUGGCAAAUGGAAUACGAUUUGCAGAGGUUUUUUAUUGAACUGUGUGGGUUUUCGCGAUGAGGCUGAAACGAUGCAUCUGCCCCCCUCCUUUACUUUGGCGUUGUGUUAUGUUCGCUGGAAGGAAAAGAAGGACUUCUCCUACUUGUCAUGCAGCGAGCGCACGUUGCAGGAUUUGUAUUUGAAGACAUUGCGCUCAUUUCCUUAGCUGUCAUUAGACCGGCCAAGCCAGAACUCUUCAUUCUACUGAGUUGUGAUCAGCUCACAUCAAACACUCAUACGAGCUUUAUUCAAUAUUCCACUGCCCUUGAAAAUUCUAUUAUAGAAAUCCAUUCGGGGGACUGAAAUGACUUAUUUCCCCGAAGCCUUUGAACCGAUGCGCGGCCGCUCGGCCCCCGGGCAGACGUGCGGCGGUUUCCCCACUCAGACGUAAUGACAGGCGCGGGGCGCAAAGUGACAGGCCGACGGCUGGCCUCCCCUCAGAGGGGUCGCGGAGGGAGGCGGUGACACUUGGUGUCUCUCCGGGCGGCGUCGGAUGCUGGGAGCCAACAGACACGCGAUCAAUGAGGCCCGGGCCAACGGCGACGGUGGCGCCCGAAAGACACGCUGGCUCAAGUCACGCCUUUGGAGGGAGGGCGACGUCGCCACUUUCGAUCAGGUUCAGAAACACGUCUCAUGAUGACACGUAUGGGAUCUGAUACAGCUGCUUCCUUUGGGGUUUGGCCUCAUUAAAGUGUCCUGCAGCUCCACGGAUUUAAAUGCCGCUGUUAAUUUCUGAUCUUUCUUUAUUCGGCGCGCAACCACUUAGAGGUCAUUACCAGGCAAAAAAGUGACCAUCGUUUCGAGCAGCAUUUCAACAACCCAUUGAGUUCCAUUUUCACCCAAUAGGGACAUUUGAAACCCAGUGGAAGGAUGGCUCGCUUAUUUUUCUUCUUCUGUUGAGUAUCUUUUUUUCCUUAAUUCCUUCUACGUCCCUUUGUUGCUCGAUGACAAUAAAUGUUCUUUGAUAACUUGAAACGUGGGAUGUGAAAUGUAUUAUUACAUACUCUGUUCCUCCCGAAGCACAAAGGGCUUUCAGAGUUACGCAGGUUACAAUAAAGGAUUAUUAGAAAAACGCUGAAGAUGUCGCGAUGAAAUGACUUCCUAACCCUUUUAGAUCAUUUUCCAGUAUUAUUUUGCACGUAUUCUACAGUAAAUGCAAAAAAUGUUACAUGGAACAUGAAAAAUGACCUGUAUGUAAGAUGCCCCCUCCUGUAUAUGUAAACCGGAGCCUCCAGCACUGUAUUUAUCAGUGAUACGGGAUAUUAUUCUCCUCCCUCCAGAACACAACCGUGUAGCUCAUGACGUCAACUGCACUGCUGACAUGGUGCAACCUGAUUUAGAGCAUUGUGCAAGUGAGCAGAAGUCCCGACAUCCAUCUGGACCUGACAUGGGCUUCUCCCCAUGUGCAGCUGUGCAGAUGUUGGCCCCCAAAGAGCCACGCGGACCAGAGAUUAAUGCAUGCUGUGACAAACAGGAAUUAAUCAAGCAGCCGUGGAUCUGUUUGCAAUCACACGGUGUAUUGUUGCCAUAACUGUUUUACAGAUGGAAAGGACUUAAGUCACUUCACCCUGUUUGUUUGGUUUGGUUUUGUUGGUCUUUUUCAUCAUCAAUUAUUUUUUACUUGUUUAAUUCCUUGAACGCCUUUAGUUUCAAGUAUGUUUUUCACCCUUUUUUAAGGCCCUUUGGCGGAAUCCUCUGCUCACUCCCACACCAUCACUACCGCGGGCAUGCUGGUUCUUCAUGUGAUGAUCUAUCACCCAGCUGCUCAGUUACUGCCACUUCCACCGAGGCUGGUCCAUUGCUCUGGUUGUCAAGUAGUAAAUUGGCACUGAGACCGGUUUCCUCCACUAGAGACCACUUGUUGGCUGCUUACCUUUUAAAGCAGCGUGCCGUCUACUUAGAGAAAUGUGCAGGGGUUGAUAAUGGUGCGUAACGAUGGAAUUAUUCUGUUGGAAAUGUAUACGUGAAUUAUUUAUUCGUGAAGUGAGGGAAGAGAUGGUGAUCAUCUGAAAAAGAAUCCAUAGGCCGAAUGAAUCAUUGGAAACAAAAAGGCAGACGGACAUGUUUAAUUCAUAUAGAUUACCCAUCGAUUGUGAAUGUACUGUUGAAGAAUGAAGUUUCAUUUGCAGAGUUUGUGGACUAUUUUUAGUUCUCCCGGAUCAACGGGCCGCUCAUUCAUCCACGUCAACCUCGUCCUGCUGCAGACUUUAUCACUUCCUCUGCUGUACGUUGGAGAUGAUGGGAUCUACAUGCGGAUUAAGAGGGUUUUGACGUGCGUGCUGCUGUGACUAAUCAUAUCACAUUAAACUCUCAUAUUUAAGACGUACAUGUAUGGCUUAAUGAAACUCAGCUACUUAUCGACAUUUCCUUAAUCCGUUUAACGAACAAACUCAUUACUUUUGCAAAAGCCUUUUUUCUUCGAUGCUAAAACUGCAACUCAUGGUCCGAUAUCAGAUGGUGGUAGAAAAAUGAUGACUGCUGAUAUCCUCAGUCCUGCAAUAUGGAUUUUGGUAUUUCAUUACUUAUUUUGACCCCUGAAGCUCGUCCCCGCCUGGGGGGGGGACACGUUGUUUGUCCAGCCCGUUUGACCGUCUACUUUUAAUUAUCUGCACAUGCAGCUAGUUGUCAUUCCGCUCAGUGAGCAUCUCAUCUUAAAUCGCCAGCGUGAGCCGAUUAAAAAGCGGAGUUCCUCCAUCGACUGCAUGCAAAAAAAAAAAAGACAAAACCCUAGAACCAAUAUGAUUAUUUCCAACAGGACUCUGCACACGGCAGCCGUGACCUUAAGUGACUGAACUGCAGCCACAUUCGAAAAAGGCACUGCUGCUGGUUGUAAUGAGACACUAAGUAAAGAUCCAGUCUCACUGCGUCCCGGAUGUCCUCCUCUGCCUGUGAGCUGGCCCUAUUUCCCCUCCUCUGGCCGGGUAACGGAAUCAAACGGGGGCUGAAAUAAGGCCCGAGUCGGCAGUCAGGCACAUCCUGGAGGACAGGAAGUCGGCCGCCCUCUGAGCGGCGCUCUCCUGCCCUCUGCUGGUUCGAUGCCGCGUUUUCACAGAGACACGCUUCUCCUUCUCCAGGCGACUUUGGCAGUUUGUCUAGUUUUCUGUGGCAUCCGAGUCAGAGUAGAAAUAGAUAUUGUGUGUUUUUUUUUGUUUAUUCCUUGGCGGAGUGAGACGGAUGUUGAUGUGAGUUUGAUCUGUCGGGAUGAGAGAUGAGAUACAAGCGUCAGUGAGCAGCGUGAAAACCUGCCCGGCAGCAUGGCUGCUUCUUAUGAAGCGUUUCUUUCCCCACAUGCUGCAAAUCUGAUAUUUCUGUGAUGGUUAAAAGGUACAAUUCCUGACAAAUAAGGCAGAAAAUAUGUACUGGAAUUAUAAAAGCAGGUCCGUUCUAUUGCUUUGAUUUCAAACAUGAAUUUUCCGAUCACUGUCAGAAAACACAAAUAAGUCACAUUUAGCUGUUAGUCUUUUGAACUGAUCCGUCUCUCAGCUCGGGAGUCUAGUCAUGUGUUUUUUUGCUUUAAGAAAGGACAUAAAAUAUAAACCCUGGUUCUCCUGAAGUGCCACUAACGUUUGCUUUGAACUAUUUGCAGAUACUACUUAAAUAUUUUCUGUGUAGCUGCAUUUGAAUGUUUUUACACAUGCAUAGAGGCCACUUUUUAAUAAUAAUAAAGGACAUUCCACUGUUAAUACCAUGAGAAUAGUUGCAGAGAAUUGUUGUCACUGAGUAUUUAUUCACUUUGGCACUGCUACUUUUAUUAAGUAAAGGUUUGGUUGAGUACCACAACAAUAAAAAAGAACAUUAAAGCCUUUCAGAACACAACUCACAAAAUAAAGACAUCAACAACACGGCCAUUUGUUACCCGGCAACCGGCUAAGUAAGAACAGCAGAGUCAUCAAUAAGCCUGACAUCACUCUGCUGCAGCAGUCAUUAGAUUCAAAACGUGAAAUAACGAAGUGUACAGAAUGCGUUGUGUUGCCUUCAGGCAGCGAGAUUGACUUGUACAGCACAUCACUGAAUGCAAAGCAGCUCUCUCUCUCUCUCUAUUUCUCCCUGUCAUUCUUUGGGGGGGGGGGGGGCGACGGGCCCCCGGAGGCCUGUGGGAGCCGGAGGCCCGUCAGCGGGGUUUGAGGCCGGCUCCAGCCGCCCCUCCCCCCCAGGGGAGCCGCUUGAUUAAUUGAGCUGGCUGAUUUACGACGGGUCCGGCAGCUCGGCGCACACGUGCACGUGCACAUGCGCUCGUACCUCGGAGUGUGUCUCCUCCUUUUCAUCCCCCUGCGUGAGUCGCUGCCUGCGCACGUGUCUGCGCACGCGUUCCUUGAGUGCUGCGAUUGUGUGCGUUUCCUCCUCUGAAUGCUUCGUUAUGCAUAGCGAGUUACUCUGUUUACACAUUUGUCAUUCUGUGUGUGUGUGUGUGUGUUUGGAAAGAAUCUCUCUCUCUCUACAUAAUUACAGCUUCCAGGCCCCAGCAAAGCAGCAUGUGGUAGCCUGGAUGUCAGGGCCGGCCAGGCCCCCAGCAUUCCCACCGGGGUGAGUCUGGGGUCUGCUGUCCAGGCAGAACGCUCGGGAUUGAUGUGCAGUAGGUUGGAUGGUCUGCAGCCAAAACAUCAUCAGGACCUCUCUUUGACUUCACAUUCUUCUCACCACAUUCUCCUUCUUGAUGAUGAACGUGGGUGCAGCGUGUAAAGUGAAAGGCGAGCAGGGUGCACACGUUGUGGGUUUUUUUCCUUUCAAUGACACAAAAGCAUGAAACUGUAAAACCUAAAAGAUGUUAGCGGCUCUUGAAUCCGAUUGAGCUUAAAUCUUCCAAUAGGUUUCCUCUUUCCCGUUAAAUCACCUAAACUUAUCUUCAGCAGUUAAAAGGGAGUUUUUCAUGUGUUAAAAUAGAGAUUCCUAUGGAAUUUUCAAGUACAACAACCCUGAGUCGAAGCCUUUCACAGGAAAGAGGAGGUUAGGGCCCAAUGAGGUGGGGUUAAGGGCUGACGGGGCACACACAACACGCACAACACACACACACACAAAUACCCAGAGCCCCUGGAGAAAUUCCUCAGAUUUUUGUUGUUUUUUCUCUGCGAGUGAUAACGGCUAGAGGAGAGCUGGACGCUGCGCUGGAGAACGCUGAACUCUCACAAUCACAGCACCUGACAUUGUUUUGGCGUCGUGGUGCACGUGAAGUGUUCUGCUACGCCGUGUGUUUUGAGCUGGAGGGCUUCGGGACACUCGAUGGAGAAAUCCAUCAGUCCAACGUGACGCGCAGCAUUUAAGGAGGACGUGUAAACUUAAACACGUCUGUGCGGUGUGCUCGGCGUCAGCGCCAGAUAUCAUCCCGCAAAGAGCACGUAAGUGAUUGGGUUUAAAAAUCCAAGCCAUAAAAGGACAUUUACAUCUCAGCAGUAAAUUCAUGUGAGCGUCCCGAACGAGCCAGUAACUACAGCCUUUGCACAAAUUCCACGUCAUAAAUUUUCACUGCAGUAUGUAAAACAUUUCAUUUCCUUUCCUUCGUCUCAGGACUCCGAACCUCCUCUUGUACGUCUGAACGCAGUAAAGUCCCCCCCCCUUUGGGGUCAGCGGGACGGGGUCCCUGCCUCCUUUUCCUUACUGCAGUCAUUCCUCAGCUAAAAAGCUUUUGGAGGCCGGAUUGUUGGUCGAACCGGACUCUUCUGUGACGCGACACGUUGGUUAUUCACGCAGAGAUCAACAGG
ensembl:lncRNA